rnacentral:lncRNA from 1 species
AGAGCUGCUGCGAGAAGAAGACCCAGGAGAUCUGGGGCAGCGAGCUGUGCGUCUGACAGCGCAGGUCCAGCAGCGUGGGCCCCAGGAAGGCGAUGCACAGGCCGAAGCUGAAGAAGACGCUCCAGUAGGUGGCCUCGGGCUGGCUGGUGGGUUCUGUGUGUUCCCGCUCCUAAGGGAGCCAGGAUCUGGCCCCUGGAGGCAGAACAGUAAGGCCCUGCGGUGUCCCCUCUGCCCAGGUCUUCUGGUAAUGACAGGAGCCAUGACAUCAUUUCCACUGGCCCACCAGGGGGACCAGGGCUGAAAAGACUGAGGAGUUGGUUGAAUUUACAAAUGCAGAACCCACAGAGACAGGGGGCCAACUGUGCAGCAGUGAGGGUCUGGCUCUGUAACCCAGGCUUGAAUGCAGUGGCAUGAUGGGUGCAAUCUUGUUACCUGUUACUGGUCUCUUCAGGUUUUCUUUUUGGCUCAAUCUUGAGAUGGAGGCUCGUUUUGUUGCCCAGGCUGGAGUGCAGUGGCUAUUCACAGGCACAAUCAUCAUACACUGUAGCCUAGAACUCCUGGCCUCAAGCGAUUUUCCUGUCUCAGCCUACAAAGUUGCUGGAACUCUAGAAAAUGCAGCUGAACCAAGCCUGCCUAUCUUGUCUAUGAGCAGCUGAUUCUUUGAAUCUAAAGAAUUGAUACAGGACUUGAUACAUGUGGAAUAACAGAAAGAACCUGGACCGUGGAGUGAGACAGGCUUAGACUUGAGUUCUGGCUACACACUUGGCUGUGCCAACUCAAGGCGGCUACCUUGACAUUAUAAGGCUGAUUUUCUUCAACUGUAAAAUGUCGAUGUAGGAUUACAUGAUAACACAUGCAAAGCCUCUGGUAGAACACUCAGGGCAGCACUGCUCAUGCUUCUUAGUUGCCUUCCCCUGAUCUGGAGUGUCAAUUAAUCUUGGUUUGAGUUCCUCUUGCCCACCAGUGCACUUUGGUCCCCCAUUCAGUCAUGUAGCAAGGGGCUAUUCCUCCAGCUGUUCUUGAGUAAGCAUGGCACCUCACAUUCAUAUAGAAUGGUUACUAAUAGUCAUCCAAGUUAUUGAGAAAAAUAUUGACCACAAUGUACCACUCUCCCACUCCACUUUUUCCUAAUUAAUCUUUCCUUUGGGACUCAGCUAAGUUGUUCAUUCUGCUGGGAGUGCUCCACCCACCCAGAGCUGCCCCGAGUGCCUGCCUUGUGUUCUCUGCAUCCCCUCACCACCUUCCUUUGUGACAAGCAGCUGAGGUGUCUGUAACCCGAAUCAAUACUGGAUCAGCUCCUUGAAGAUAGAGAUUGGGUCACACAAUUAUCCUUAUAUCUUAGAGCACAGCACCUGCCUGGUACAUAGCUGGCAUUCAGAAAAUAUUAGCUACGCAAAAAUGUGUUUAAGUAUUAUAACCUUGAGUUGAUGAAACUCUGAGGCAAGAAAUAGUAUUUAUAGAGGAUUUCAUGAAAAAUGUACAAUUUAUCGAUCUCAUCAGUUCUCAGAUUUGGCUAUAUAUUAAAAUCCCCUGGAAACAUAGAAAAAAUCAGAAUCUCUGGUUGGUGGAGUCCUGUGUUGGUAUUUUGCAAAAGUUCCCAGGACUUCCUAAUGUGCAGCUAGGGUUGGAAACCACUGCUCCAGAAAAUCCACAUUUUACCACUGAAGAACUGCCUGCAUAUCCUGUACCAUUUAGGCCCUGCACUAAAGUGCCUUUAUUGAAUUAUACUUGGGCUUUGUGUCCAAUUUGACUGAACCUGGGAUAUAACUGUGCGACUCUUGUCACCGGAGAUAUGGGGAGAUGUUGUUGUCAAUGGAUCCUCUUUAUGAAGACACACCAGAGAGAUGCCUAUUGGGCAUCAGCACCAAAAAAAGGCCAUGAUCCUCCUGAGCAACCAGUUCAUGUUUGUCUUACGGAUUCCAGGAAUCAUUUAAUUAACACUAUUUUCCAGGUUUGUAGUAGCUGCUGCAAAGCUCAAGAUCAAAGCCAUGGUGCAUCUUUAUCACCUACAAAGAAUUUUGUGGUGUGUGUGUUACAUAUUGACUUGGUUCUGCAUUAUUUUUUGUCUUUUUCUCUUCACCCUCUGAUAUGGUUUAGGUCUGUGUCCCUACCCAAAUCUCAUGUCAAAUUAUAAUUCUCAAUGUUGGAGGAGGGGCCUGGUGGGAGGUGAUUGGAUCAUGGGGGCAGACAUCCCCCUUGCUGUUCUCUCAAUAAUGAGUUUUUAUGAGAUCUGGUCGUUUGAAAGUGUGUAGCACCUCCUCCUUUGCUCUCUUUUUCCUGCUGGCCAUGUGAAGAUGUGCCUGCUUCCCCUUCGCCUUCCGCCAUGAUUGUAAGUUUUCUGAGGCCUCUCCAGAAGCAGAAGCCUGUAUAGCCCACAGAACUAUGAGUCAAUUAAACCUCUUUUCUUUAUAAAUUACCCAGUCUCAAGUAUGUCUUUAUAUCAGUGUGAGAAUGUAUGAAUACACCCUCCUUUCCUUAACUUUUUCUAUAAUAAAGCUUUUUAAUUGAGAUAAUUCACAUAUCAUAAUAUUCGCCCUUUUAAAGUGUACAAUCCAGUGGUUUUUAGUGUAUUUACAAGAUUGUGUGACCAUCACUACUAAUUCCAGACCAUUUCCAUCACCCCAAAAAUAAACUCCACACCCAUUAGCAGUCACUUCUCACUCUCUCUUCCCCUCGACUUACUUUCUGUCUUUAUGGAUUUGCCUGUUCUAGAUAUUUCAUAUCUAGAUAUUUCAUAUAAAUGGAAUCAUACAAUAUGUGGCUUUCUGUGUCUGGUUUCCUGUACUUAGCAUAAUGUUUUCAAGGUUCAUCCAUGGUAUCAGUAGUUUAUUCCUUUUUUAUGGCUGAAUAGUAUUCUAUUGUAUGGACAUACCACAUUUUGUUUAUACAUUCAUCAGCUGUUGGACAUUUGGGUUUCUACUUUUUGGCUAUUAUGAAUUAUGCUGCUGAGAAUAUUCAUGCACAAGUUUUUAUGUGAAUAUGUUUUAGUUCUCUUGGGUACAUAUUAGAAGGGUGGUUUGCUGUGUCAGAUAGUAACUCUGUGUUUAACUUUUUGAGACCCUUUCCUCAUUUAAAGAAAUGUUUUUGUCUUAUAGUAUAGUAUGUAUCUCUGUAAGCCACUACAGAUUCCUCUUUUUGGAAUGAGGUGGCAUAUAAAUAAAUAAAUAAAAAGUCACAAAGCACUCCCAAGCCAUCUGUUUAAUAAUCUGUGCCAGAAUGUUGCCAGGAUUCUAUAUUGAGCCGUUUGGUCUAUAAUUUCCAGAAAUACCUUCUGUCUCCUUGUAAAAAUCGGAACAUUUUCCCAUCUCCACUGUCCUCAAGUAUCUAGGUUGUUUUUCAGUCCUACCUGCAAGGGAUUUCAUGACUCUGGUGUCCUACCUGAAUCAGGCCCCCAGAACUCAUCUAUGGCCACAAAAGGUCUGCCCUCCACCUUCUCAUCUGUCUUGUGACACACUUAAAAUGUUUUGUAUCAAAGUAAUUCAUGCACAUGGUUAAAAAUAAACUAGAACAGAAGAGCUUACAGUCCCCUACCUCAUCCCUCCCACCCCUAGUCUUGCUCCCCAGAGGCAACUGCUUCUAACUCUUUUAGCUCUUUAUUCUGGGAGUAACUUCCAUAUCUCUAAAUAAUAUGCUAAUGCCACUGUUCCUUGGCUUUUCAAGUUUAAACAUCCUCUAUUAAUUUAUAACUAUCAAAAAUGAGGUGGGGCACGGUGGCUCACGCCUGUAAUCCUAGCACUUUGGGAGGGUGAGACAGGCGGAUUGCUUGAGCUCAGGAGUUCAAGACCAGCCAGAGGAACAUGGUGAAACCCUAUCUGUACUAAAAUACAAAAAAUUAGCUGGGUGUGAUGGCACAUGCCUGUAAUCCCAGCUACUUGGGAGGCUGAGACAGGAGAAUUGCUUGGACCUGGGAGGCGGAGGUUGCAGCCUGGGUGACAAAGCCAGACCCUAUCUCACACACACAAAACAAUGAUAAUAAUAAUAAUUUAUCAAAAAUGAGGAUUUAGUUUACAUAUCUAAUCCAAACAACCGUCCCCCCACCCUACUGUCAGUACAGUUAUAUAACUGUUCUUAUUUAAUUCCUCUAAAUAAAAUAAAAAUAAAUCUGUCAAUUACCUCUGUUGCUUUAAGUGACUACAUCUUUAUUUUUCAUCCCACUAGCUGUUGAUAGUAGUUUUGACUCACUGUUUAUAGGAUAAAGAUAUCAUCACUCCUACCUUUCCCUUUAGGCUGCCCUUCCCAACUUCUGUCUUCUGAACAUUUACUUUUUUUUUUUUUUUUGAGACAGAGUCUUGCUCUGUCACCCAGGCUGGAGUGCACCCAGGCUGGAGUGCUAUGGCAUGGUCUUGGCUCACGACAAACCUCCGCCUCUUAGGUUCAAGUGAUCCUUCUGCCUUAGUCUCCCAACUAGCUGGGAUUACAAGAAUGCACGAUCACACCCAGGUAAUUUUUGUAUUUUUAGUAGAGAUAGGGUUUGGCCAUGUUGGCCAAGCUGGUCUCGAACUCCUAACCUCAAGCGAUCCACCCACCUAGGCCUCCCAAAGUGCUGGGAUUACAGGAAUGAGCCACCACGCCUGGCACAUUUACUUUAAAUGUUCAAUGUUGACAACAUUUAUGUUCCAAUUUUCUCAUUAGAUUAUGUUCUAAUCUUCUGUGCUUUGCUUAUAGGUUUCUAAAUGUUUAAAUCCAAUAAAUAGUGUUUACAUUUUGUGACAAUGUAAAUAUUGUUUAUUACAGAGCCACACAAUGUCCUAUGAUGAAUUUUCUUCUUUUAUUUCUUCUAGUUUUUCAUAAGAGUUUCUAAUUGCCUUUCUUCUUCUCGUUUCCCUUCUCUUUUUUCUCUCUCUCUGUCUCUCUCUUUCUUAGACAGGGUCUCACCGUGUCACCCAGGCUGGACUCAAGCCAUCUUUCUAAGUAGCUGGGAUUACAGACAUGUGCCACCAUGCCAGGCUUAUUCUUUAAUAAUACCCUUGUCAUUUCCUCAAGUCUGCUCUCACCUUUCCAGCAAAUGAGUAGAGGUGCCUUAUUUCUCAGGACCUGUUACACAGAGCCCUCUGCCCUUCCGCCACAUAGGUGUUGGCCUGGGGCUUCUUCCUUUCACUGAUGCCCUGGGCCUGGCAGCCCUCUCUCCCUCCCUCCUUCUCUUCCUUUCUUCUGCUUGUUUCUUCUUUGUUUAUGCUCUCAUUUUGCUGUACCACAUCUUUAAUUUCUCAAGGAGUGUGUGGUAUGUAGGUUUUCUGAGUCCCUCAUGUCUGAAAGUAUCAUUGCUCCACCCUCACACUUGAAUGGCAAUUUGGACAGAUAUAGAAUUCUUGAUUGAAAAUUGCUUUGGUCAUUGAAUAUUGAAGGCAUAGUUCUAGCCUUUGCUGGUGAGAACUUUGAGACCAGUCUGAUGCAUAUAUAUAUGUGUAUGUAUAUAUAUAUGCAAAUAUAUAUACACAUAUAUAUGCAAAUAUAUACAUAUAUAUGCAAAUAUAUAUGCAUAUAUAUACAAAUAUAUAUGCAAAUAUAUACACAUAUAACUAUAUAUACAUAUACAUAUAAAUAUAUAUAUAUAUAUUUUUUUUUUGAGAUGGAGUUUUGCUCUUGUUGCCCAGGCUGGAGUGCAAUGGUGAGAUCUCAAUUCACCGCAAUGUCUGCCUCCCAGGUUCAAGUGAUUCUCCUGCCUCAGCCUCCUGAGUAGCUGGGACUACAGGCAUGUGCCACCAUGCACGGCUAAUUUUGUAUUUUUAGUAGAGACGGGGUUUCUCCAUGUUGGUCAGGCUGGUCUCAAACUCCUGACCUCAGGUGAUACACCCGCCUUGGCCUCCCAAAGUGCUGGGAUUAAAGGCGUGAGCCGCCACACCCAGUGUCUGAUGCCUAUAUUUUUAGAGGUACUCUUUCUUUUUUCUUUCUUUUGUUACCUCUAAGGAAAUUUUUAGGUAACCUUUCUUUUUUUCUUUUUUUACCUCUAAGGAAAUUUUUAGGAUCUAGAUAUACUAUCAUUUAGAUAUAAAACUAAUUCUCUUACCUUCCAACACCUUCUAAUGACUUUUUUAUUUCUGUGAUCCUAUCUUUAAUUUCCAGUAGUUCACACUUAUUCUCUGAUUACUCCUUUUCAUAGCAUCCUGUCCUUGUUUAGGGAUGUAACACCUCUCCAAUCUAUCUGACAAAUGCCUGAAAUAUUUAAAAUGUUCUUUUGUCUUCUGUUUCCUAAAUUACUUCUCUUUCUUAUGGAGCUCUGCCCUGACCACCACCACCAUUUAUCCUUGUCUCUUUUUCAUGCUAAGGUCAUUUUUCAAAUAUCUGACGAUCUUUGUCUUAUCAUAUUUAAGAGUGAGCCAUCCUGGUCAGCUGGCAGAUUUCAUUUCUCUUUUCUUUCUUUCUUUCUCUUUCUUUCUUUCUUUCUUUCUCCUUCCUUCCUUCCUUCCUUCCUUCCUUCCUUCCUUCCUUCCUUCUUUUUUUUGGACAGUCUCAUGCUGGAAUGCAGUGGUGCGAUCUUGGCUCAUUGCAACCUCUGCCUCCUGGGUUCAAGCAAUUCUCUUGCCUCAGCCUCUCAAGUAGCUGGGAUUACAGGCGUGCACCACCACACCUGGCUAAUUUUUUGUAUUUUUUUUGUAGAGAUGGUGUUUCGCCAUGUUGGCCAGGCUGGUCUCGAACCGCUGACCUCAAGUGAUCUACCUGCCUUGGCCUCCCAAAGUGCUGGGAUUGCAGGCAUGAGCCACUGUGCCCGGCUCAUGAAUGGAAAUUUUCAAUUCCCUCUUAAUGUGUGUGUUUUAUCUUUUUCAGAAUGGUCAUUCUCCUAACAUAGGAGAAUGAAACAAAUUGAGAGCUUCAUCAUCAUAAUUAAUAUCUCUCCCUCUGUGAAACAGAGGCUCCUGAAAUCUGAGAGGCUCCUUCCUUCUCUGUUGGGCUCUUUUUUUUUUUUUUUUUUGAGAUAGUGUUUUGCUGUGUUGCCUGGGCUGGGGUGCAGUGGCGUGACCACUGCUUACUACACCCUCGACCUCCCUGGCUCAGGUGAUCCUCCAGCCUCAGUCUCCUGUGUGGCUGGAACCACAGGCACCGCACCACCACACCUGGCUAAAUUUUGUAUUUUUUAUAGAGACGGAGUGUCGCCUUUUUUGCCCAGGCUGGUCUUGAACUCCUGGGCCCAAGCGAUCCUCCUGCCUUAGCCACCCAAAGUGCUGGGAUUACAGGUGUGAGCCACCACGCCCAGCUUGUUGGGCUGCUUUUGUUUCUGACUUCAGAUGCAGCUUCCCACUCGUCCCUGUCAGAGACCUUUGCUUCCUCACCUCCAAAUGCCAAUCAUGUCUGUGUCCUGUCAGUUCUAAGUCUGGCAUGUUCCUUGAAUUCAGGGCUCCAGCUUCUUCUACUGCCUUAGUCCAGUGGUUCUGGCCCGUAGUUCAGUUCCAGGCGGUUUCUCCUGUACGAUUGUAGCAGCCUCCUAGCUGGUCCCUGCCAACCCUCCCCUAAUCCAGCCUUACCAGCUCUAAAUUCAGACUUUAUUAUGUCCCUCAUUUACAGCAAAAGAAGGACAUUUUAAAGCAAUUAACAUCACUUCUAUGGAGAGCUAUUUGGUGAUAUCCACCAAAAUGAUAACUGCACCUGCCCUUUGACCUGCAAUUUCACUUCCAGGAAGUUAUCCUGCAUACAGAGUUGUACAUGUAAAACAUGACGUAUGUACCAAGUUAUUUAUUGCAGCACUGUUUAUAAAUAAAGCAAAAGAUUAUAGAGAGGGAAUGGUGGCGUGAUCACAGCUCACUGCAGCUUCUACCUCCCUGGGCUCAGGUGAUCCUCCCACCUCAGCCUCCCAAGUAGCUGGGACCGCAGGCAUGUGCCAUUAUGCCCAGCUAAUUGUUGUAUAUUUUGUAGAAAUUAGGUUUUGCCAUGUUGCCCAGGCUGGUCUCGAACUCCUGAGCUCAAGUGAUCCACCUGCCUUGGCCUCCCAAAGUGCUAGGAUUACAGGCUUGAGCCACCAUGCUGGCCCCUAUGUUUAUUUUAUCUUAUGUAAAAAUGCAGAUUCACUGAGCUAGAUGAAUGCAUAGGUGACUAGUCCUCUGCCCACCUCUCACAUGUGAAGGGCUGAUCAAAGACUCAAAAGAAUGCAACCAUUUGCCUCUUAUCUACCCAUGCCUUUUAAAAAUUUCUUCCUUUCACCAAUAUCCACCCUUUCUUCUUUAAAUAUUGAAGCCCUCAAAAUCAUCCUUGGAGACAGGCACAGACCUGUCUUCUGGAUGUGCAUCCUUAACCUUGGAAAAAUAAACCUCUAAAUUAAUUGACACCUGCCUCACAAAAUUCUUGGUUUACAAAAGCAUUAAAAUAUUAACUAGCAGUGGUUGUUUAUAGGUAGUUGGCAUAUGAGUGAUUUUAAUCUUUAUCCUAUUUCUGUUUCUCCCUCAAUUUUUUUUAUGAUAAGCAUAUCAAUUCUAAUAAUCAGCCAAAAAAAUAAUGGAUGCUGCCCUCCCCCACAUGGUGCACAGGACCAAGCUCAGUGUCUUCAAUGCAUUUCCAUCCUCCUCCCCUAUCAUUUCCCAACCUCCCCCAGCACAGCAGGAUCGGUGGUUUCUGAACAUGGCCCCUUGGUUGUUCUCCCCUGUCCUGCAGAAAUGCGACCCAGCUUCCACUGUGCAGCUUGUGUGUCACCCCCUUCCAGAUAGAAUCAGCGGCUCUUCCUUUGUGCCUAUGUAGCCAACUGUUUCCCACUGGCCUGGAUUCCUGGUGGGUGUGGACCUUGUCUUCUUGUCCCUUUGCCACCUAGGAUGGCCCCCGCCUUGACUCAGGGGGCGUGCCGAGUGCUGGCAAAUGCAGCUGAAUGACCACAAGCCCUUGUUGGCUUCCUCCACCUUCUGUGAGAUGGCUGGGUUACGAGAGUCCGAGUUGGCCACAGUCCUCUCUUCAUGGUGGUGUCUCCUUUCUGGGCAUCACUCUUUCCGGGGUGUUCUGCCAGACAUGCUGCAGUGCUUGUUCCCCACUGGGGGGGGGGCCCUCGACUUAGCAGCAUCCUUCAGACAGAGCUGCAUCUUCCAAACCAAGGAUGGUUACCGACCAACCCCCAGAGGUCUAGCUGGAGGAACAGGGGCUCUCGGGACGGCUGGUUGGCCUCAGGAGAGGGGCAAGAGGAGGGCUUUUUCUCACAUCCCGUCAGGAAUCUUGGAGAAAAUGGGGCUGGGAGCCCAAGUAACACAUUUGUCCUGACACUUCCACUCCCUCCUAGGAACCUUCCAAGUCUUCUUGCCUGCAUCUGUCCAAAAGAAAAUUGGGCAGGAGGGGAGGAGACAGGAGCAGGGGAGUGACUGAAGCAGGGCCCAACCCCAAUCUAUCUCCUUUCCUCUCAGAGGAUUUGAGAUGGUUCCUUGCCUUUUAGCAGAUUCAUGGAGAAGAGCAUAGCUGGCAGAGAAUCCCAUUCCUUCCCAGUUUCUCAGCGUGCAAAGAUCCCUUAAUUCACAGACUGCCUGCACCCAUCUCUUACCCAAGCCCUGCCCCCCAGUCCACAUGGAAGUUGAACCUAAAGGAAAUGUUUUUUGUUUGUUUGUUUGUUUUUUGAGACAGAGUCUUGCUCUGUCGCCAGGCUGCAGUGCAGUGGCGCCAUCUCGGCUCACUGCAACUUCUGACUCCCUGGUUCAAGGGAUUCUCCUGCCGCAGCCUCCCGAAUAGUUGGGAUUACAGGCACGCGCCACCACGCACAGCUAAUUUUUGUAUUUUUAGUAGAGACGGGGUUUCACCACAUUGGCCAGGAUGGUCUUGAACUUCUGAUCUCAGGUGAUCUGCCCACCUUGGCCUCCCAAAGUGCUGGGAUUACAGGCGUGAGCCACUGUACCUGGCUGGUCUCUUUUUUUUUUUUUUUUUUGAGAUGGAGUCUUGCUGUGUCACCCAGGCUAAAGUGCAGUGGCACGAUCUUGGCUCACUACAACCUCCACCUCCUGGGUUCAAGCGAUUCUCAUGCCUCAGCCUCCUGAGUAUCUGGGAUUACAGAUGUGCACCACCACGCUCGGCUAAUUUUUGUACUUUUAGUAGAGACGGGGUUUCACCAUGUUGGCCAGGCUGGCCUUGAACUGACCCUCAAGUGAUCCACCUGUCUUGGCCUCCCAAAGUGCUGGGAUUAUAGGCGUGAGCCACCAUGCCUCACUGAACCUAAAGGAAAUGGAAGAGAAGAGCAGGCCGUGUGCAGUGGCUCACACCUGUAAUCCCAGCACUGUGGGAGGCCGAGGCAGGAGGAUUCCUUGAGCCCAGGAGUUAGAGAGUAGCCCGAGCAACAUAUCGAGAUCCCGUCUCUACAAGUAAUAAAGUAAUUAGCCAGGCAUGCUGGGGCACACCUGUAGUUGUAACUACUCAGGAGGCUGGGGUGGGAGGAUGGCUUGAGCCCGGGAUGUCAAGGUUGCAGUGAGCCAGGAUUGCGCUACUGCACUCCAGCCUGGGCAACAGAGUGAGGCUCUGCCUCAAAAAAAAAAAAAAAAGAGAGAAGAGCAGGUGUCAAAUUCCUUUUAUGUCCAUCUAUGCUUUCUCUUAAGCAGCCUUGGUUUAAGAGAUACUAAUAGAGAUACUUCCUAAUCUGGCUGUCGUUGCUUUCAUCCUUAUCCUUAUACCCUAGCAGAUUUACCAAGAGGAUAAAUCCCAGCUGGAAGUCUUGGACAUCUGGCUCCAUUUUCAGCAUUAUCUCCAGAUUAGGGCAGCCAGGGAGAAACUUGGAUGUGGAGGGCACACAGCCCUGCACAGACACAGACAACUAUGAAGUCAACUAUUAAAAGACUCCCCAUGCAUAAAAUCCUUCCAUUAAUAGUCAAUAAUGGCUAAUAUUGUGUGACAUAUUUUGAGGACUUUUCCCCUGUGUCAGGGAAGUGGGUAUGUUUUUUAUAUCUCCAUAUUACACAUAAGAAAACUGAGGCACAGAGAGGUGAAGUAAGUGGCCCAAGGUCGCUCAGCUAGCAAGUACACUAGCCAGGAUUUGAGCCCUCUGGCUCUAGAGCCUAUGCCCUUAACCACGAGGCUAUCCUGCUAGGGUUACACUUUCCUUUUCAGGGUCUUGUGAGGCACAGCUUGACCCCUGACCCUCUUUGGGUACCCUGGGCCACCCCAUGGGUCCAGAGUCUGAUUUUGAACUCUAACCAGCCACCCCACCCCAGCCCUUGGCUCCCCAGCAGAGUGAAGUGGGUCUGCUCCAGCUUGAGGCUACUAGGAGCCCAUUGAUGGCAUUGCCUAGAGCCACAUCAUGCAGAAUGAGCUCCUGGCAGCACAAGCCCGCGCUGUUCAUUCGGAGCUGCGGCAUGCUCACUAGGUCCUCAUGGUGAUGCUGGGAGGUGGACUAGAGUAUCCCAUUUGGCAUGUGAGGAAUUGAGCUCCGUGAGAUUAAGUCACUGGUCCAGAAUCACAGAGUAGCCAAGCCAGGAUUCAAACCCAGACCUCCACGUGCCAUGUGCAGCUCUCCUUUCACAAAUCCACAGCUGCACUCCAGGGAUUCCCGGCUGACAAAUGUAGUUUGGGUGUCUUACUGUGGUCUUUAACCCGCAGGACCCAAAGCUACAGCGUUUCCAGUUUCUUUCCUUCCCAGACUCUCAGGAAACCACUUCUCAAACGUCUACUUGCUACAGAAUUGCUUGAGGAGAGUAUUUAAAAUGCAGAUUCCCAGAGUUCAUCCUCCAGGGAUUCUGACUUUGGAGGUCUGGGGUAGGGCCCAGGACUCUGCAUUCUUAGCAGACCCUCAGAUAAUUCUGAAGCAGGAGGGUCCUGAUGCACCCAUCUCUGAGAAACCUGCUUUACACCCAUCUGAGUGGUAUCUGUCCCAACCCCUACUCAUGGCAAGGGGCCCAUAAACCUCUGAGGGAUGACUAAAUGUUCCGGUGUGGUUCAGGUUUCUCUCUGGGGGUUGAAAAUGUUAUAAAGUGCAAUGGGAGAUUUUCUAGGCAGAAGAUGGGUCCUUUGCCUUCUGAGAGAUGGGGCUACUUCUCUUGGGUUUCACUCUAUAGGUGAAGGCGGAGUGAGGGGAGAGGGCCGCCCCUUGAGGGCUCAGCAGGGCCCUAGCCUGCGCCUGUUUUCAGACCAGGUUGCUGCUCUUUUGGCUGACGUCAUAAAACAGAGCCCUGGGUGGGCGUGGUGGCUCACGCCUGUAAUCUUAGCACUUUGGAAGCUGAGGCAGCGGGAUCACCUGAGGUCAGGAGUUCAAGACCAGCCUGCUCAACAUGGUGAAACCCCAUCCCUACUAAAAAUACAAAAAUUAGCCACGUGUCAAGUGAGGAGCACCUCUCUCUGGCCGCCGCCCUGUCUGGGAAGUGAGGAGUGCCUCUUUCUGGCCGCCACCCUGUCUGGGAAGUGAGGAGCACCUCUGCCCGGCCGCCGCCCACCAUCUGGGAUGUGAGGAGUGCCUCUGCCUGGCCGCUGUGCAACCCUCCAAGUGUGAAGUGACAGCCUUGUGGGUGAUACUUCUGCCCUCCCCAAGUUUGCAUUUUUGACAUUGAAGUUUACUUUUUAAUUAAAAGUUUUAAAUUGGAGAAUAAAAAAAAAUUAGCCAGGCGUGGUAGCACACGUCUGUAAUCCCAGCUAACUGGGAGGCUGGGGCAGGAGAACUGCUUGAACCUGGGAGGUGGAGGUUGCAAUGGGCCAAGAUCGUGCCACUGCACUCCAGCCUGGGCGACAGAGCAAGACUCUGUCUCAAGCAAUAACAACAACAACAGAGCCCCAAGUCAGUGUUUCUCAACCUUGCCCCAACCGCUUCCGAAUCACCUGUUAUUUGUCAAAAAUGCAGAUUCCUGCCCCCAACUCUGAUUUGUUGAAUUAGGAUGAGGAAGAGGGGACAGCGCCCAGAAAUCUGCACUCUCGGCUGGCACCCCAGCCAUCACUUAUGCACCUGAAUGCUUGAGAAAUUCUGUCGCAGAACAUGGACUUUGGAGUGUCACAGACCUGGGUUCCAGUCCCAGCUCUGCCACAAAGUAGCUGCGUGGUCUGGAGCAAUCUCAGUCUCUGUGAAACUCAGUUUCCUCAUCUAAAGAAAUAGGUUACUACACAAGCUUAUUGGUCUUGCUGUGAGUUGAUUCUCACAAGACCAAUCAAACAAUGAAGAAAUGUACGCAAAGCACUGGGCACCUCGGAGAGAUGGCACCCCCAGCCUAGUGGUAAAGAGAGGGAUGCAUAGAGGAAUGCUUUCUCUGGGAGGAAAGAGCUGGGAGCACUGAGCAUUACUCACCCACUGGCAAACACUGACCCACUUCAAAACAAUUCUGACUUUCCAUUUCCUCUGGGGGGAGCUCAGUGAAGCUUUCAAAGGUGACUAGGUCCUUUCCCAUACUCAGGUGUGAGCCAUCCCAAGUCCCAAGUUGGGGUCAGGUGUUGUAAACAAAAAAUAAUACAAUUUUGACUCCUUCCACACCUCCAGCUGAGCCCUCCAUCCACGGCCCCACCUGCCAUUUCCCCUCCACGUGACAUUCCUAGAUCCCUCACUGGGUGGCAGGCCCAGUCUGAAAGGCCCUCUUGGCAAACCACGGGUCUGCCAAGGUCCCUGGGACCUGUAGCCUCAAAGCCAGGAGUUUCCAAAUCCUUCCUUCUCUUUGGCUCUCCCAGUCUGGCCAUGCAAAGAAACGCCAGAGCUUUUAAAAAGUUUCGGCCAUUCAUAAUGGAUUAGUCCACUCCGGAAACAUUCCCCAGCUCUGCUGAGAGCCUGCCAGGCGACUUGGUGACGUGCUGCUCUCAGCGCACACAAUGGGCAUGGGAGAACAAUGACGAGGAGAAAAACAUCCCGCCCGCGUGUCCAUGGGCUCACAUCCUCCUAGGACCCCGCCCCCGCAUGCGCUCCCAGAGCUGGGGGAGUGGGGCGGGGGGACGGGGAGGGAGGGAUAGAGAGAGGUGCUAGAGGACAACUGCGAGAGCAAGUGAGGGAGGGGAAGAGGAGGAGCUCACCCAAAUUUCCCCGGUUUGGCUGCAUUCUGAACCAGUUGGGUGAGUCAGAUUAGAAGCCAAAUCUGCUUAUUCUGGCUCUCCUGCUAGCCCCGCGGCCACUGCUCACGGCCCGAUGCUGAAACGGAUUAAAACCUGAGCUGGCAAACAAAACAGUUCAGAGUUACUGACCUACGGUGCACAGCGUUGGGGCAGGGGUGUGCCUGGUAGGAGGCCAAGUGUUGCCACUUAACCUCCCAUGUGCAAGGAGUUCAAAAUCCCAAAGCCUCAGUUUCCCCAUCCACUGAAAUGGGGAAAUCGUGCAUGCUCUGUUUCCCUCACAGAAGGUGAGGCAACAAGGGCUACUGGGCGUGAAAGCAUUUUCAUAAUUAUUAAAAACAUUAGCCAGGCGCGGUGGCUCACGCCUGUAAUCCCAGCAUUUUGGGAGGUUGAGGCAGGUGGAUUACUUGAGGUCAGGAGUUCGAGACCAGGCUGACCAACAUGGUGAAACCCCGUUUCUACUAAAAAUGCAAAAUUAGUCAGGCAUGGUGACAUGCACCUGUAAUCCCAGCUACUUGGGAGGCUGAGGCAGGAGAAUUGCUUGAACCUGGGAGGCGGAGGUUACAGUGAGCCGAGAUUGUGCCAUUGCAUUCCAGCCUAGGCAACAAGAGUGAAACUCCAUCUCAAAAAAUAAAUAAAAACAAACAAACAAAAACCCAAAUAAUUAUUUAAAAAAAUACUUGGUCACCAGGUGGUGUCAUUCCUCUGACAAAGCCACUGGGGGAGGUCACAGCCAGGAAUUAGAAGGCAUGGCGCUUUUCAUCCCAGGCAGCUUACAACUUAAACCCAAGAAAGAGACUUAGACACUGAAAACCUAGAUACAAGAGUGUAGACUAAGCUGGGUGCGGUGGCUCAUGCCUGUAAUCCUUUCACUUUGGGAAAGGAGGAUGUGAGCCCAUGGACGCGCGGGCGGGAUGUUUUUCUCCUCGUCAUUGUUCUCCCAUGCCCAUUGUGUGCGCUGAGAGCAGCAUGCCAAGGUGGGCGGAUUGCCUGAGCUAAGGAGUUCAAGACCAGCCUGGGCAACAUGAUGAAAGCCCGUCUCUACUAAAAUACAAAAAAUUAGCCGAGCAUGGUGGCAUGUGCCUGUAAGUCCCAGCUACUUGGGAGGCUGAGGCAGAAGAAUUGCUUCAAUCCAGGAGGUGCAGGUUGCAGUGAGCCAAGAUAACGCCACCGCACUCCAGCCUGGGUGACAGAGCGAGACUCCGUCUCCAAAAAAAUAAAAAGUGUAGACUAUAGACAACUAGAAUUUCUAGACUGUCUGGCUUGGGGUAGGUCUGGUUGGGGAUUGGGAGAAUGCUUGGGGGAUUUACUGAGAAGUGGUCACUGUUUCUAUGCUAAGCUCUGUUUUUCACUUAGGUUAUAGGUAUUUGGGUGGCCUUUCAGGCAAUGGAGGUUAUGAGGGAGCUAAGGCCCCUGUGGACCCCUUGGCACCAGCACUGGCAUAGGCCCACUUGCUACCACCAGAACUGAGCACAUAUGGGAGCAUUCACGGGGCUGAUUAAGGAAGGCUUCCUGGAGGAAGGGAGUUUGAGGCAUGUUUGAAAGAAGAAGAGGGGGGAUUAUAAAACACGAAAGUGACAGCAGACAGGUUUAUGUAACAUCCAGGAGCAAGAAUGAGACUCUGAGGGCAUCCAGGACCCACCUUCAUUGUAGGGACAAAAGCACCAAGGUCUCAGCCAGGUGAGGGAGUUUGCCCAAGGCACAGUGACUGAACUGGAACUGGUGCUGCAGGGAGCUGGAAGGAAGGAAGGAAGUCCAAACAGAGGGAACGUGGACAGACUCAGGCACAAGGGCUUAAGGUAGGAGGUGCCCUUGGGGAAAAUGGGUCCUUGGUCUAGUAGCAAGAUUGCAGAGUAUGCAAAGAAGUCGGAGCCAGGGUACAAGGGGCUUAGGCACCUUGCUAGCGAGGAGGCUCAACCCUUAGUGGUGACAGUGGGACAGUCAGUGGAAUGUCCUGAAGCCUCUCUGGAGGCCCUCUGCAGCCCAGGAACACCUAGGAGUGGAGGUUGGGGAGUAGAGUUUGGAAACACCUUAGAAACAAGAUUGGCUGUACCCCGUGACUGUAAAUGGGGACUCGAGUCUAAAGUCUAAGCUCAAGGCAGCAGGGGUAGCCCGAGGUGCCUGCUGCUGCAUGGAAGGGAAGGGAGAGAGCUGGCCAGGCAAGAGUGGGUUCCAGCAAGUUCCUAAUGUAGCAGACAUUUCAUGUUUGUAUUCACUCAUAUUUUCAUUCACAGCUAUGAGCCUAGCAGUGAGGCCCAACUCAGUUUACAAGGCUUGCAAACCAGGUGUCAACUGGCUGCCUGUCAGACAAUGCUUUUAGGUGACCAGAAGGCAAGGAUUUCCCAGUCCCUGGAAACCAGAUGCCCAUCCUCCAUGCAAACAAGUGAGGUGGAGUGUCCGUGCCAGUGCCCACACCUGCCCGGAGGCAGCUGCUCAGGUAGGCUGACCUGGGUUGUAAUUGACAGUCCACCUUACUCCCUGUGUGGCCAUGCAGGUCACCUAACCCUAGAGCCUCUGUGCCUUUAAAAACAGAGGCCAGUGGCUUCCCAUCUCAGAAUAAAAUCCAGAACCCGUACCACAGCCCGCAAGACCCCGCACGAGUGAGCGGUUCUCAACCCUGGAUACAUGUUAGGGUCAUCUGAAUCAAUCUGAGCUGGGGCCGGAUGGCAGUGGAUCUUAAGCACUUCCCAGGUGGAUCUAAUGGGCAGAGCCACUGCCCCACAUGAUACAUCCCUCCUGCCAUGCUGCCUGGCUCACUGUGCCCUGGCCUCACUGCCUCUCACUCAUUCUCAAGUACGUUCACCUCAGGGCCUUUGUUGGAAUACUCUGUCCCUGGCUGUCCACCUGGCCCCCUUACACAACAUAGCUCACUUUUUUUUUUUUUUUUUUUUUUUUUGGUACAGGGUCUCACUCCAUUGCCCAGGCUGGAUGGUAGUGGCAUGAUCACUGCUCACUGCGGCUCGACCUGGGUUCAAGUGAUCCUCCUACCUCAGCCUCCUGAGUAGCUGAGACUACAGGCAUGAGCCGUCACACCCAGCUAAUUUUUUUUUAAAUAGAGACGGGGUCUCGCUAUGUUGCCCAGGCUGAUCUCAAACCCUUGGGCUCAAGCGAUCUGCCUGCCUUGGCAUCCCAAAGUGCCAGAAUUACAGGUGUGAGCCACCACGCCCAGCCCAUAGCUCAUUUUUGAUGGAGAGGUCCCUCCCUGACCAGGCAGUUCCCCUCCCUAUGCCAUCACAUUCUUCCCCCUCAAACCUGCCCCUGCCUUAUUUUGUCUCAUCACACUUAUGACCCCUUGAUAUGCCUGUUGGUUUGGAUAACGUCUUAUACCCCCCACUGGAACAUAAGCUCUAUGAGAGUAGGGCUUGGCCAUCUUGUUCACGGCUGUAUCCUCAGUGCCUAGCACAGCACCGGGUGCACAGUGGGUUCUUGAGAAAACCUGUUGUAAUCAAGGCCAUCUCUGCCGGCAGGUCUGAGCUUCUGGAAGGUAGGGGUGGAAUGUCAUGCAUCUUGGUGUCCCUGGCAUCUAGCACAGGGCCAGGCAUGGAGGAGGCUGUGGCUAAUUCAUGGUGCUGAUGAUUUGCUCUGGAGAUAGAGGGGCUCACUGGGGUGCUGUAGAGUGUCACGGCCAAAAGCAAGGGUCUGAGCAGUGAUAGAGGUGGGGAGAUGGCCCAAAGGAGGCUGGGAUGCUUCAAGAAGGGAGGAAAGGAGCAGGCCUGCAACAGUGUCUGACACUUGGCUGACCCAGGGGGCCUAGCAGGGUAGAGGAGUGGUGGCCUAUUAGACAUCAGCCCUGACCACUGGACCCAGAGAGUAGGGGCAGGGUGAAUGGGAGCCCACAGGAGGGUGGGGCAGGGGAGAGCGAGCUCCAGGUCCCACCGGGGUGCAAGAUGAUGUGGGCAGUGCCAAGCACAGGAGCUGAUAUCACCCCCACCCUGUAGAGUUCAGCAAAUAGGACAUUUUGUCUGAAGCUGCAGGGCUGCUACAUGCCUCAAAUGCCCCUGCCAAGUGGCCAUGGUGGAGGGGACGGCAUCUGCACCCUGGAUAUUCCUGACCUGUCCCAGAAGCAGGCAGGUGACAAGUGAGGCCUGAGGGGGAAUGACUUGUAAAAGGCUGCUUUGGGCCGGGGAUUCCAGCAGAAUGGGGCAGGCUCCUGUUUUUGAGAGUCACCGGCAUAAGGAAAUGAUUGCAGGGGUGCCCAGGAAACCGAGGGCUCCAGGACACUGGGUUGGGUUGUAGCUCAGCCUGGUCCCUGGGAGCCCAGUGGCAGCUCAUGGCCAAAAUCACUCAGCCCCUCUUCACACCCGAACCCAGCUUCCUUCUCCGGAGCCAUCACUUUUUGAGCACCAAUCAUAUCCAAGGCCUGGUGUAGGCCUGUCCAGCUGAGUUCCACACCCCCAGGCUGGCCGGCACUCCCAGCCCUGGCAGCUUUCUAGGGCAGAAGCUCAGCAUGCCUGAUGUCAGAAGCCCCUAGGUGUGUGCCUCCUCAGCAGGGCCACAGCUGCAGCAGCAAGAACGGCUGCCCCCAGCGACUCUGGGCCACCUCUGCCUGCCACAAGAGUUGCCUUGCAAAGUGCUCCUCAAGGCAGCAUCUGCCCAUAUCCUUCCUUGUGUGUUUUCCUCCCUCCAGGGCCUCUGCACUAUCUCCACCUCACCCUCCCCACGCCUCCCACUCCUUAAAGACCACAGGGCUGGGGGGCAGACACCUGGGAUUCUAAUUUGGUAUGUGACCCCAGGCUACCCCUGGGAGGCUCCUGUCCUCAUCUGCAAAGUGGGGAGAAAGGGGGGUUUCUAUGAGGAUUCAGUGAGACAAUGCCUGGGCACAGGGCUGCCUGGCACCCAGCAGGGAACUUAAUAAAUGUCUGGUUUCCAAUUCCCACCAAUGCAUUUCCCAGCCCUUCUCCUCCCCUCAAGCACUAAUUGUCUGAGUUACGACCCUACUUUGGUGUCUGGCUGCCUACAAGCAAAGUGAGGAGGUCUCCUUCGGUAGAACUGGUGCUGAGCUGAGAAUGGAGCCCUGGCCCGCCCCUUACUUCCAGAGCCUUGGGAGACAUCAUCAACCUCAGCAUCAGCUUCCUCCUCUGGAAAGCAGCCACCCUCUUAAGUAACUGCAAACCAUGCCGGCAAACUGCAAAGUGCUUAAGGCCAGGCAUGAGGACAGGUCAGGAGGCAGGGUUUCGGGCCUGGCAUUCUCAGAGUGGUCUCGGGAAGAACAAACCUGGACACCGAACUGGACAACAGCAGGACUCUGAGCACUUUGGGAGCUGUGUAUGAUGUGUUGCGGGGGUGGGUUGUGUCCAGAUCAAAGGUGGGGAGGCGGUCUAGGCAGCAGCAGGAGGUGUAUUCGAGGUCUGCAGCAAUUCUUGCAGAGCCUGAAUUACAGUGAGGCCCACACCCUCGUCCUGCUGCCCUGGCCUUGGCCAUCUCCCAUGUCAACCUCAUCUUGAUCUUGCCUACCUCCCUCCCCAGAAGCCAGGGGGCCAUUUGGCAUCAGGAACACAGGGAUUAGCUGCACGGCCAGACCCCAGACCCCCGCCCAGGGGUCCCUCUUUGCUCUCCUGGCCAGCCCCACCCCACAGGCACCAACUUGGGCCAAUGCCAGGCCACAGGUCAGACUCCCAGGCCUGGGACUCCUCUGCCCACCCACAACAACCACUGAUGCUCCUCAGCAAGAGCCAACUUCUGGCUCUGAACGCAGCAGCACCCAGGAUACAGCAAGGUGAAUGCUAGGCACUCGUCCCACAGCCUGGGGUGUAGGGGAGGUCAGAGAUACACACAAAUCAAACUCUCUCCUCACUAUAUAUAUAUAUAUAUAUAUAUAUAUAUACACACACACACACACACACACACACACACACACAUACACACAAGCACACCCCACCCACACUCAUUAGGCCUGGAGGGGGGACUUCAGUUCUCCAUCUUUGGCAUCAAUCUAUCAAAGUCAGCUUUUCUGUACGAGACUGCUCGCUCCUUUCUGUACAUGAAUUAAAUAUAUUAUCUGUCUCUGCACUGAGUCACACGACGUUCACAGUACCGUGGGGAGGAGUGGAGGGUGGGGGCCUGAGGUGGGCAGGGCAGGGGGCCUGGGUAGAAAGGCGAG